GUGGGGAAUUUUGGACAAUGGGCGCAAGCCUGAUCCAGCAAUGCCGCGUGCAGGAAGAAGGCCUUCGGGUUGUAAACUGCUUUUGUACGGAACGAAAAGGCUCUGGUUAAUACCUGGGGCUCAUGACGGUACCGUAAGAAUAAGCACCGGCUAACUACGUGCCAGCAGCCGCGGUAAUACGUAGGGUGCAAGCGUUAAUCGGAAUUACUGGGCGUAAAGCGUGCGCAGGCGGUUUUGUAAGACAGGCGUGAAAUCCCCGGGCUCAACCUGGGGAUGGCGCUUGUGACUGCAAGGCUGGAGUGCGGCAGAGGGGGAUGGAAUUCCGCGUGUAGCAGUGAAAUGCGUAGAUAUGCGGAGGAACACCGAUGGCGAAGGCAAUCCCCUGGGCCUGCACUGACGCUCAUGCACGAAAGCGUGGGGAGCAAACAGGAUUAGAUACCCUUGUAGUCC
rnacentral:rRNA from 1 species